rnacentral:rRNA from 1 species
ACGUGAUCUGAGUUCAGACCGGAGUAAUCCAGGUCAGUUUCUAUCUAUAAGAAGUUUUUUCCAGUACGAAAGGACCUAAAAAACAUGGCCUAUGCUCCAACAAGCCGUCCCUAAAACUUAUGAGUUAAACUUAACAAUUAACACUUCCUCACAUAGCUUAAGAAAUAAAGUU